CUCAGCGGUGCGGAAGCAUUUACUCAGAACAUCGCACACCUGUUAAUCCUCAGCGGCAAAAAAAAAGAAAAAGAAAAAGAAGAAGUUGCAUGCUGCGUGAACUCCAGCAUGUCCUUCACUCCAUCCAUCCUCUUCUGUCUUCUGUUCCUGGAAAUUCAGACUUAACACAGAAAAGGCACAGCAGGAGCUCAUACAGUCAGAGGAAGCAAGUGUUUGGCUUCAUGUGCUCGGAUGAAACACAAUGGCAACUUCCUGUUUUCUUUCUACUCGAAAGAACUUCCCACAACAUCAGAUGCACGUAUAGUCACCAAUAAUAAAUAAAGAAGAAGAAGUGAAGUCUAGCCUUCACAAUGAGGAGCUUUGACUGACAACAGUAGGCAUGUACUAUUCACAGAGGAGUUGUUUAUACAUUCAAUGAAAGAUUAAAGGACUAUGAAGGAGGACAUAUAAUAACGUCAGCUUCUACUGACAGCAAAGCUUGAAGACCCCAGUGGAUUGUUUUACCUGUUUUUUUUUUUUUAUUAUUAUUAUUAUUAUUAUUAUUUAAAGCUUUGCGUUUAGAUAUUUAUUGCACAGUUUAGAUGAGAGAGGUGUAUCUAUGAAGUGUGAGUGUGCAGCGAUGGAGAAGCUCGGAGAAGAUGGCUUUGAGAGAUGUGAACAGUUUGGGGACUGGUCCAGCUCUGAACACUGGGAUGAGGAUCACAGGGACAGCAGUGGCUUUGGGGACUGGGCUAGUUUUAAAGACGGACUCAGUGAAGAGAGUGAUUCUGCAGACUUAUUGUCUCAGGAAGGACAGACUUCUGGCCAUGAACACAAGGUAGAGAGAGGUGAUGAGCCCUGGAUUGUGAUCCAUGAUUGCUUUCAUGUUGAGGAGAUUGUGAGAGAUACAGACAUGAUGGAAUUUCUGCCACUGUCACAGCUACUGCACAAUUCCACACACACCCCUCCUCCUCCAGCAGUACUAUUAAGAAAGGGUGCUAGCUUUUACCACAGUUUGCUGUGUGAGCCGAAGUCUUCAAGCGUAACGAGUCCUAAACCCAAUUUGCAUUCCCACAAGCAGCUCACUGAUGCACUACAGCUCAAACAAUCCAAUACUUCACAGCUAACAGCACCCACGUGGUGUCAGACUUCUCCUGGAUUCUUCUACCAGAUCUCUCACCGAUGGCUCAGCCAGAACAGUUUGAGACUACAGAAUAAUCAGGACAACAAAAAAGACCUGCUGUAAUGACAGUGAAACACUGACUACGUUUACAUGGACAGCAGUAAUCUAAUUAUUAUCUUACUCUGAGUAAGACAAUAUAGUGAUUAAGGUGUUUACAUGAGUCGCUUUUAGAAUACUCCUUACAUGUUCCCGUUUUACAUGUUAUAGAACGUAAUUAGAUUAACGGUACAUGCAUUAUGUCAUCGCGCCACGCCGUCCAACGUUCCCUCCAGAAUUUCACAUAUCAACAUAUAGUUCAUCUUCGUUAUGGUACCGUAUACAGUUUUGGGUGUUUUUAUAAAAAAAAAUUUACGAACGCUUUAAGUGCAGUUAAUUAUUUGUCCUGCUAUAUGUGCAAGUAGACGACUGCUUGAAGCCGUGGGCUGCGUCCCAAACCGCGUACUUACCGUCUAUAUAGUAGCCGAGAUGCAUGUAUUUUUCCCCACUACAGGCCUAUAUUAAGCAAGUAUGCCGUUUGGGAAGCAGCUGUGCUCUCUUGUUCGCCGUGAAACGUUGAGCACUGCCGUGUGUGAUCAUGUCCUGUCGCAAAAUGCGGUGAAAACUCUCACACGACGUUAAUAGUGUGAUUAAGGUGUUUACAUAUCUGUAAUACACGUUGAUAAUGCGACUAAAACAGGAGUACUCCACAUGUCUUAAUUCCAUUAGUGUUUACUUUGAAUAUGACCUUAAUCAGAUUAAGGUAAUUAAAAAUUGCUGUUUACAUAGUAGUUUCUUAAUCACAGUAUUGUCUUAAUCGGAUUAAUAGUGGAUUAUUGCUGUCCAUGUAAACGCACUGACUGAUAAACUGUGCACAGAAUAACAUCAGUCUUUCUGAUAAUUGAGAUAAUAAAAACAAGUGUACCAACACAGGAAAAUACUUUAUUGUUGAGCUUCACACAUUAGGUGUCUAUUCUGAAUGCAAAAUAAAUUCACUCUAUAUGUACAGGGACAUCUCAAAAAAUUAGAAUAUCGUGGAAAAGCAGGUCCGGACUGGCCAUCGGGAGCACCAGGAGAAUUCCCAGUGGCCUGACAACUGAUUUGGCCUGCUGCCCUGCUGUUUUUUUAUUUUUAAUUUAUUUUAUAUUAUUGCAUGUCCUAUGUACUUGAGUUUUGGACUUUGGCAUUUGAUAAUAAAUCGAAAUAAAUCACUACCAUUCUCCUCAGCUCCGGUGAACAGUUUUGAACAGAGUGCUCAAUGCACAGAGCGAGGAUGGAGAGGAAAGGGCCAGGUGGAGCAGAAAGAAAGCCCUCUGAAAAGAAGCAGCAAAAAUGUAACAAAAUUACUGACCUGUUCAGGGCUUCAAGUGCAGGUCAGUCUCCUCUGUAAAUAUUGUAGCUUUGUGUUCGCUAACUUAGCUAAAUAAGUAUUAACCAAAGGUGCACUACUCACAAAUGUUAGCACUAUUACUAUCGUCACUCAAAAUAUGCUAAAGGACAACAUUAUCUACUGAAUAGUUAUAAUACUAAGUAAUUUAGCAGACAAAUAUCCAAAUUUAUUAUUUUAAAUGUUGAAAUUACACAUACAGCUAGGGCAAGCAACAACAACAAACUUUAUAAACCAUAAAAAGCAACAUUAUGCUCAGUAUUAGGAUUUUUCUAAAUAGACAUUUUCCUGAUGUAGUUAGUACUGCACUUAUUACAACACAUAUUUAGGCAAUUUAAAAAAUUGUCUUCAAAUAUGUGAGGUUGAAAAAAACAACAACAACUUUUUCUCCUAUUUUUCACAAUAAAGUGGUGAGAGUAAGCUUGCACUGGCUCAGUGAAAUGGUCACACUUGAGGGUUAACAUGAGAUGACUGGUAGAGGUAAAUAAAUAAAAAUUAAAUAUAAUUUAAUAUAUUUGUAUGAAAUAUAAUAUGGUUGAACCUCAGGUAUUUUAAGUAUUUUUAAGUCUCAAAAAAAAAACAUUGUCCUAAUGUGAUACAUUAACUUGAAAUGAUGUUAAUGAAAUUUAGAUUCUGUGCUCACAAAUUACAGUGAGGUUAAACAGUUUUCAUUUUCUAACAAUGUGGAGACAGUUCUAUUCAUAGCCUACAUUAAAAUGGCAAAACAAAGUCUCUCUUGUUUACCUCUCUUCUGCAUUUAAUGUACUUUUGUGACUGAAAAGUAGAGAGUUACUGGCAGCUUUGCACUACUGGUGUUUGUUAAAUGCUUGGCAUACCCAUGUAAGCUGAUAUAAAUUAUGACUGCUCCACUACCUCUAGGUUUCUUGUUUGUUUUUAUGGGAUGGCCACACUGUGUGCAAUAAAUUUAAUUUAGGAAAGAAAAAAUAAAAUGUACUUCUGUAUUAAUGUGCUGCUCUGUUUUGAUGCUCUGCCUGAAUUAGAGUUUCUGUUUAUUUAAUUUUAUUAGUGUUAUCUCCUCGGCUUUACCUGCUACACUGUUAUAUUAUUUGUUACAAGUCUUUAAAAGGUAAGGACAUUAUAUUUAUUAUUGUGCGCAGACUGUUUAUCAGACUUGAAGUCGGUAGGGGCUUUUUCUCUUACUGGAACUUUUUGUCUUGGUAAUUUUGUUGGUUAGUUCAGCUUACUCUCCGAGUUGUUUUCACAUUGUGGACAACGUUCUGUUUUUGUAGGAAACACUGCUGUCUCAUUUGUUUAUGGAGACUUCGGGUGUGUGGGUGUUUGGUGGAUUGUGAGAGUAAGCAGAACAUGCCAAUGCUUUGAAGGAUGUGAACUGAGACAGAGUAAUGUUAUUUAAUUGCGAAUCUGUUUUUAGAGGAUUUAAACCUAACAUUGUGAACAAAUUAUAUUAUAGAAUUCAGGCAAUUUUACUGGGGUUAUCUCAUACAGUGUACAAGUAUUAAUCUGGAAAGACCUUUGUAAUAUUACAGUCUAAAACUGGAUUUAAAGAGUAGCAAAUCAGCAAAUGAAUCACUUGAAAAUGAAUCAUAUGAGAGUGUGAGACUCCCGGCCUGAAAUUAUGUCCCAGUCCAGCCCUGUGGAAAAGUAUCAUGGAACUUUCAUAUAUUCUAGAUUCAUUACAUAUAAAGUGAAACAUUACGGCUUGUCUGAAUUUUCCCAAACACACCUUGAUGAUCCUCAAACCUUUUGGGAGAAUGUUCUGUGGACUGAUGAGUCCACAGAACAUAUCAUGCCAAAUGAAAAUGAUUUAGUAGAUCAGUCAAAUGAGGCCCCACCUUGCAACAAAGUCAAGAUGUAUUGCCUACUGUUUUUUAGGUUUACACCAAAAGUCCCUUGUCAUCAUACUUGUCAGCACCAGCACUGAGAAAUUUAGGCUGUCAGUAUCUCACCAUCAUCUUUUCAACUGUUACACUAUCAGUACAUUUUGCAUCAUACAGUGAGGGGAAAAAAGUAUUUGAUCCCCAGCUGAUUUUGUACGUUUGCCCACUGACAAAGAAAUGAUCAUUCUAUAAUUUUAAUUGUACAUUUAUUUGAACAGUGAGAGACAGAAUAACAACAAGAAAAUCCAGAAAAACGCAUGUCAAAAUUUUAUAAAUUGAUUUACAUUUUAAUGAGGGAAAUAAGUAUUUGACCCCUCUGCAAAACAGGACUUAGUACUUGGUGGCAAAACGCUUGUUGGCAAUCACAGAGGUCAGACGUUUCUUGUAGUUGGCCACUAGCUUUGCACACAUCUCAGGAGGGAUUUUGUCCCACUCCUCUUUGCAGAUCUUCUCCAAGUCAUUAAGGUUUCGAGGCUGACGUUUGGCAACUCGAACCUUCAGCUCCCUCCACAGAUUUUCUAUGGGAUUAAGGUCUGGAGACUGG
ensembl:lncRNA